AAAAUGCGAUAAGUAAUGUGAAUUGCAGAAUUCAGUGAAUCAUCGAAUCUUUGAACGCACAUUGCGCCCGCCAGUAUUCUGGCGGGCAUGCCUGUUCGAGCGUCAUUUCAACCCUCAAGCCCCCGGGUUUGGUGUUUGGGAUCGGGCUGCGGUUCUGCCGCGGCCCGGCCCCGAAAUCUAGUGGCGGUCUCGCUGCAGCCUCCAUUGCGUAGUAGCUAACACCUCGCAACUGGAACGCGGCGCGGCCAAGCCGUUAAACCCCCCAACUUCUGAAUGUUGACCUCGGAUCAGGUAGGAAUACCCGCUGAACUUAAGC
rnacentral:misc_RNA from 1 species